UACGAAGGGGACUAGCGUUGUUCGGAUUUACUGGGCGUAAAGCGCGCGUAGGCGGAUCGCUAAGUCAGGGGUGAAAUCCCAGGGCUCAACCCUGGAACUGCCUUUGAUACUGACGAUCUGGAGAUCGGGAGAGGUUGGUGGAAUUCCGAGUGUAGAGGUGAAAUUCGUAGAUAUUCGGAAGAACACCAGUGGCGAAGGCGGCUCACUGGACUGGUAUUGACGCUGAGGUGCGAAAGCGUGGGGAGCAAACAGG
rnacentral:rRNA from 1 species